UCUGGUCCCUGUUCUCGGGAGACCGCGUUUUAGGUUUCUCCGGGAGCUCUCGCCGCGUUUCCGCCGGCGCUGGCGGAGCGGCCAGCCGCCGGCGGCACCUGCCGAGGCCGGGUUGUGUGACUCGCGGCGGCGGCCGGAUGAGGGCUGCGGGGACUACAAGUCCCAAAAUGCAGCGCUCCACUGAGCCGCCUCUUGCAGGUGGCGCGGUGCAUGCUGGGGUCGGCGGGCUCAGUAGCUCAUAGAGACGCUGCGUGACUGGGCGCGGCGAGGCUGAUCCGCGUGAAAUGUGGCUUGGGCGGUGGGUCCCGGCCUCUGUCCCGUACCUUGCGGAGCGGGUGUAGGGUGCUGCAUUCGUGGCGGCGCCGCGUUUGGGCCGCGCCAAGAAAUAGCGCAGUGUCACGUGCUGUGCCGCGCCGCAAAGGGAGCGCGAAAGAAACUUGUCCUGGACAACAGUCUGCUCCUGUGCAGCACCGGGUACUUCGUCCCUCUUCUUCCUGUUCGGGGCCUGAGCUGUUCUCCGCGAAAUCCAGCGGAACUAUGGAGAUAAACUUCAUGGUGAUAUCCUGGAAGUUGUGCAGAAUAAUUGAGCCCUUCAUGAAAACAUCAACAGUUCUAGAAGACUAUAUGAUAUACAGUUGUGGAUGUUCCUGAAUAUUUAAGACAGAAUGUGACUUAUUAGCAAGUAUCCAGUGGAUAAUGAAUUAAUGAAUGAAUAACUGACCGCAGUUGGGAUAUAAAACUACUUGCGACUCUAGUACUACUAAAACAGAGAUCUCCGAAGGCUGACUCAAUAUUAAAGUGAAAUGGUGGAAACUGUAGGAGCAGAUGCAUUUAGUUAUUCAGUGAUGAGGUGGAAUUUUUGUAUCACUGGAAGAAGUCUGACACCUGAAGAUACCAAGAUUUUAACAACAAAAAAUGUUACCAGGUUUAUGCUUCUGAAAUAGUUUGUGGGAUAGUUUGGUAGUUAAUAAUAUUUCUGAAACUUCACAUGGCACAGAACCAGUUGGUCUCUACUUCUCUUAAAACAGUGAGCAAUCAUGUUUUGUGGAAAUCUAAAGAUCUUUCCAAAAUUUUAGACCCAGCUCCCUCUAGUGAAACCAAAGCUCUUAUAAUAGGGAAACUGCAUGUGGGAUCAAAGAAGAGAAAAUUCAGUUUUGCUAGAAUCAGUCAGAUUUAACAUCUUCUGUUUUCUGACAUGACUUAUCAGGAGAUUAUGGUGGCUGAAGGGAAAUAGAGCAUACUUUAAAAGUGUAGCAUAAAAUCUAUUUUUUCCCACUGUUUAUCAGGAGAGGCUCCCCUACUCAGUAAAGAAAAUAUUAAGGGCAACAAACAAUAAGCUUGGGGGAUGUGGGUUGGAGAAAAACUCCCAGUGGCUAGUCAGUUUCCUCUGAAGGAGAUAAAAGCACAACAAAGAAAUAAAGCACACUUUGAUAUUACUGGGGAAAUGUGUAUGCCCUGAACAGUAAUAAAAUGGGCAAGGGAAAACCCAGGCACCCUGUGUAGAAAGAUGGCGAGAGUACCAAUUAAUGCAGAAAAUCAUAGUAAUGAGGCUUGCCCCUUUUGAGUGCCAUUUCAUUCAGGAAGUGAAAGAGGAAUGUCAGGUUGUGGUAUUAAUCAAUGAAGGCAUUGAGGAAGCAAAAAAUAUCAGACAUUUGUAAGAAAGCAAAAUUCACCAGUCAUCGUAGGAGUUGUGGUCACAAGAGAAAACUAGACUUAAACCACAGCCUGGGUUCUGUUUAUGCUGAUGGGGAAAGAAGUUGGUUUUUAUGCACCGCUGCCCAACCGCAUGAUAAGACCAAUGCAUUGGUGUGGAACUUUUUUUCUCUCUCUUGAGCAGAAAGCAUUGCUACCAUCUAUGUUUUGUGUGGAAGAGAGGCACACCUGGCAACUUCUGCUUUAAGAAACCUCUUGAAAAAUAACCAUGCCAUAAUGUGGGAGAAACAUAUCUGCUGCAUUCAGCAACUAAGCCUUAAUGCAGUAGGGAAAGAGAUGGAGGAGAUCCACAAAUACUCCAGUCAGUGGCAUAACAUCCAGUAUGCCUUUUAGUGUUAGGAAGGGAAGCACAAUGAAAAAAGAUACAUAGGCAAACUACCCAGCGACUGACACAACCUACACUUAAAGACACAUCAAACUAUAAGGAAAAACCAUCCUACAAUCCCCAUGCUUAAUACAAAACUGGCAAUAAUGCUAGUAGUGGAUCUGCAGCCCUUUUCAUUUGGCAAGGUAGAGGGCUUUCAGGCAUUAAUGGAAUACACCAUUCCCAAGUUGCAAAUACCUAGCAAAACCUACUUUUUUGGCUAAGGCAAUACCAUAGUUGUACGAAACUCAUAUUGCAGUGUCCAAGGCAUUGAGGAUGUCAGUGGUCAGAUGGAUCUUCCUCACCUUUGAAAUGUGGACUAGUGGUCAGACCAUGGACUGUGUAUCAGCUCAUUGGGUAGCUCUUCCUCGUCAGUUACCUAUGGUAGCAGGUAGCCAGACACUUUGCUACAGACUACAGCCCAACAUGCAACACUGAAGUUUUGAAAAACCCUACACUCCAUUGUGUAUUGGAGAAAUUGCAGAAUGGCUUUCCCCUUGCUUGCUUUUAGCAGGAUUUAUUACCACAUUAGUCCCAUUAUCAGAUGUAUGUGCAAUUAAGGAAGGGGGAUACUUCCAUGUGCCAUGCUUUGCACACAUUCUUGAUGCAGUAAUUCAUUCUUUUCUGAACAAAGAUGAGAAUGUGAAGUGCUGGCCAUUGCAUGUCAAGUCUGCAGUUACUUCAGCUAUUCCUUUACAGAUGCUUACACUUUACAAGAACUGCAAAGGCAAAAUAGCCUUCCAUUGCACCAACUCAAACACUAUGGGCCAGACAAAUGGGAUUCACCUCUCUGUGCUUGAGCAAUUACUGGGGCAAUAAAAAACUAUUAGUGUAGUUUUAAGAAAAACCUAUGUAGUAUGUGGAGACCUUUUGAUGAAGCAUUCAAAGGGUGAGCUAAAACGAUGCUAGUUUUAGCCAAGUCAUUCUGCUCAUGUGCCUCCUAGAGGCGGGGGAAAAUGUACCGCAUGUGCCUCCUAGACGGGGGGAAAAAUAUGCUGCCUGCAAGAACAGUUUAGAAAAGUGGAUGAUAUUGCAGCAGUCUAUUUGGUAAAUAGUAUAUUAGCCAUUCUGAAAGAAGACUUAUAUAAUUUAUAUUAGGGGGUCUGAGGAGUACAUUUUUGCUACCUUUUUUUUUAGAUCCCUGAUUUAAAGAUGCAUUAUCUUUCUGCCAUGGGGUGAGUCUAAUAUAGAAUACCACCAAACUGUUCUCAGAUACGGUUGCUAAAUGUAUUUCUACUAGAAUGGUAAGAAAAUAAGCUCUUCUAGCAUCAGGGAUCAAAUAGAAGAAAGUUGGAGCAAAAUUAAAAGAUUUCAACCUUCAAAAGGUGAGAUCUUUUUGGGAACCCCCAGUACCUCACAUGCAUCAUAUUCCAAAAUGUCACUCUGGGAUUUGCUCCUUGAUCUAGGUUUAAUGAAAGUAGCAGAAAAUGGUAUCAUGCCAGAAGAUCCUGCUAUCUCCAGUUGAUUUGUAAAUGAAGCAUUAAAACAUUACAUGCAUCAUGCAAAACUUUGUUGACAUCCUGUACCAAUUGUCAUUGGAUUUGAAUGUUGUCUGUUGCAAGCCAGUAAAUGAGAAGUUAAAGCUACAUUACUCAGUUUUAUUGUACUUUGGCCUUUGAUACAUCUGAGAAUAAACCAUGUGCCUUUUCUCAGGUAGUAUUUUUUUUUUUUACCUUUCAUCUAAAUUGCAUCAUGGAGUGGAGGGAGAAAAGUUUUGCACUCUUCCUUCCCUCCCCCAUGGGAGGGGGAAAAAAAUUUGGAAUGGUGCUGCAUAAAUUCCUUGGUACCUCUUAGGUUGCUCACCUUUCUAGGAUGAGGCAGGAGCCUGCACCCCCUUCCUGAAGGGGCUUUCUACUCUUGUCUAUAAGUAGGCUAGGAAGGAUUUGACUGUAUGGUAAAUGUUGGCAAACAUUGAUUUCACUGUACACUAUUUUUACACAUAAUAAAAAUUCACAGCUAA